ensembl:lncRNA PSORS1C3 psoriasis susceptibility 1 candidate 3
CAACCCACUCUCUGUGCUAUGACUUCAUUACUCUUUCCCAGCCCAGCCCUGGGCAAGCCCCUUACGAAGUCUCAGGCUACCUGGAUGACCACCCUUUCUUAUGAUGCUGCAAGGAGGGCAGGUGGGCAGAGCCCCGUGCAUCCUGGGCUCAGGCCAGGGACCCAAGAGCUUGGGAGAAGCUGGUUCUCAGACUGAAGGCCAGAGCCCAGCACCUUGUCACCAUCCUGGGGAGCAUCAUGGCACACGACAACCAGAGCCAACGCUACAGCUAGAGAGUUGACUCCUCUAUUUGAGAUUGACAGGCCUCGGAAGUCAAAAUAAGUGGUUUCCUAGACCGGGUCGAGAGCAAGUCUCUAUUGGUCCCAACUGAGUUUUUUCAGCUGGUUUUUCAACCAAACAGCACCUCAUCUCCCAGUGAGGGGAAGGGAAGGCUGGGCUGAGAGCAGCAAGGCUGCUCAUCUCACCUCUCCCCACCCAGCCAUGCCAGCCGCCACACCUGGUGGGGAGAGGUGGGCCUCACCUGGGUCCCCUGGCAGUGCUCUGUGAAGGGUCUUGACAUUGCACUGUAAUAAUAAAGGUGUGUGUGAAGUAUC